rnacentral:rRNA from 1 species
GACGAACGCUGGCGGCGUGCUUAACACAUGCAAGUCGAACGAAGAGCGAUGGAAGCUUGCUUCUAUCAAUCUUAGUGGCGAACGGGUGAGUAACGCGUAAUCAACCUGCCCUUCAGAGGGGGACAACAGUUGGAAACGACUGCUAAUACCGCAUACGAUCUAAACUCGGCAUCGAGGAUAGAUGAAAGGUGGCCUCUACAUGUAAGCUAUCACUGAAGGAGGGGAUUGCGUCUGAUUAGCUAGUUGGAGGGGUAACGGCCCACCAAGGCGAUGAUCAGUAGCCGGUCUGAGAGGAUGAACGGCCACAUUGGGACUGAGACACGGCCCAGACUCCUACGGGAGGCAGCAGUGGGGAAUCUUCCGCAAUGGACGAAAGUCUGACGGAGCAACGCCGCGUGAGUGAUGACGGCCUGCGGGUUGUAAAGCUCUGUUAAUCGGGACGAAAGGCCUUCUUGCGAAUAGUGAGAAGGAUUGACGGUACCGGAAUAGAAAGCCACGGCUAACUACG